CCUACGGGAGGCAGCAGUGAGGAAUAUUGGUCAAUGGACGAGAGUCUGAACCAGCCAAGUAGCGUGAAGGAUGACUGCCCUAUGGGUUGUAAACUUCUUUUAUAUAGGAAUAAAAUGUUGCACGUGUGGGAUUUUGUAUGUACUAUAUGAAUAAGGAUCGGCUAACUCCGUGCCAGCAGCCGCGGUAAUACGGAGGAUCCGAGCGUUAUCCGGAUUUAUUGGGUUUAAAGGGAGCGUAGGUGGAUUGUUAAGUCAGUUGUGAAAGUUUGCGGCUCAACCGUAAAAUUGCAGUUGAUACUGGCAGUCUUGAGUACAGUAGAGGUAGGCGGAAUUCGUGGUGUAGCGGUGAAAUGCUUAGAUAUCACGAAGAACUCCGAUUGCGAAGGCAGUUCACUGGACUGCCACUGACACUGAGGCUCGAAAGUGUGGGUAUCAAACAGGAUUAGAUACCCGGGUAGUC
rnacentral:rRNA from 1 species